rnacentral:rRNA from 1 species
UACGGAGGGUGCAAGCGUUAUCCGGAUUCACUGGGUUUAAAGGGUGCGUAGGUGGGUUGGUAAGUCCGUGGUGAAAUCUCCGAGCUUAACUCGGAAACUGCCGUGGAUACUAUCAAUCUUGAAUACUGUGGAGGUAAGCGGAAUAUGUCAUGUAGCGGUGAAAUGCUUAGAUAUGACAUAGAACACCGAUAGCGAAGGCAGCUUGCUACACAGUCAUUGACACUGAGGCACGAAAGCGUGGGGAGCGAACAGG